ACCAGGAAGGCCUAGAGGUUAAGGAGUUGGACAAAAGAUCCAAGGGACAAAAGUCUUUGUGAGUUCGAACCUCACUCCUGGUA